CCUGCAAUUCACAUUAAUUCUCUCAGCUAGCUGCUUCAUCGAAGCACGAGCCGAGUGAUCCACCACUAAGAGUCAUAUAGAGCUUUUUUUUCC